rnacentral:tRNA from 1 species
GGGAUAGUAGCUCAAUUGGGAGAGCAUUUGCCUUGCAAGCAAAAGGUCGGCGGUUCGACUCCGCCCUAUUCCA